AACGAACGCUGGCGGCGCGCCUAAUACAUGCAAGUCGAGCGAGAAGACGUAGCAAUACGUUUGUAAAGCGGCGAACGGGUGAGGAAUACAUGGGUAACCUACCCUCGAGUGGGGAAUAACUAGCCGAAAGGUUAGCUAAUACCGCGUACGCUCCUUGGACUUCGGUUCAGGGAGGAAAGCGAUACCGUGGGUAUCGCGCUCUUGGAUGGGCUCAUGUCCUAUCAGCUUGUUGGUGAGGAACGGCUCACCAAGGCUUCGACGGGUAGCUGGUCUGAGAGGACAAUCAGCCACACUGGCACUGCGACACGGGCCAGACUCCUACGGGAGGCAGCAGUAAGGAAUAUUGCGCAAUGGGCGAAAGCCUGACGCAGCGACGCCGCGUGGGGGAUGAAGGUCUUCGGA
rnacentral:rRNA from 1 species